GUUCCAACCCCCAUUGAGACUUCGGCAACUGUCACGCCUACAAGGCGGGGCCAAGGGAGGCGCCUGGGGACCCGAGAUCUGGAUCUGCUAGCGCACUCUCAAGUCCGGGACCCUGGAUGGUGGAGGUGGGCCAAGCAGAGCUCCAGAGAACACCACUGGACUGCGAUACACCUUCCCCAGACCCUGCGACCUACCUAUCCCUUAAUUUGGGAUUACAGUUAAGAAAUUACAUGAACCAAAACAACAACAACAAAAACAUGCUAGGUGGAGGUGGCCCAUGCCUUUAAUCCCAGCACUGGAGAGGCAGAGAGCUGAUCACAUGGUAUUGGAUAACCAAUUGGUGUGUUCUCAUCUGGGAAAGACAGAAGACUAUUUACUCUGCUUUUAGCAUUCUAUAGUUGCCCUUAGUUGUUCUGUACAGUUACAGCUUCCUGGACUUUCCUUAGUCCACCUUAGCAUGUCUAUUGCUGUCCUUGUUCAGCAAAAUUUUGGUUAGUCAAAUUGGUGAGAUUUAUGUGUAUGGUGGGUAAAUGAUAUAAAAUCUUGCAAAUGA